rnacentral:lncRNA from 10 species
GUAGCCUUCAAUUGGCUCAAUUUGGAGAGGUCGUUCUCCAGUGGGGAAGAAGGAAUAACAAAAGGAGCAUUUUUGGAGCAUUUAUUAACAGUAUAGGCUAGGCUUUUUUUCUAUGUAUUUUAUAUGUGUCUAUUCAUUUAAUGCCCUUGAUAAUCCACUGAAAGAGGUGUCAUUAUUAUCAUCCCAUUUUACAGAAGAAGAAACUGAAACAAGAAGACAUUGUCCUAGGUACUGUGCAUACAGCAGCAGACCAAACAAAGCCACUUCCCUCUCUUGCUUCAUGGCGCUUACUUUGCAGUGUGGAAGAUGAGCAUCUCAGCAUCUCAGAGGUGAAGAAACUGGCCUAGCCACCACGUGGUGGCACUUGCAGCCUGAGUCAGCAGAUCCCCAGGCAAAUGAAGACUCUGAGAUGAAGACAGCUGAGCGCAUGAUGGGGUAGGUCAGCCUCCCUCAUGGAAAUUCUGUGUGCCUGAGGCCCACCCUUCCAGUGCAGAUGGAGGGAUGGGAUGGAAAUGAAUCUAGGGGAACGCAUCCCAGCUGUGAUCCAGCCACCUCUGCGUUUGAAGGCUGGGGGUUAUUCCCUCCUCAUGGUUGCCACGCAUUCUUAUGUUUGCAUGUCAUGCUUGGAACUGCCGCAGCCACUUUGUGACAGCCUGAGAAUGAAUCCAGCGCUAAAAUCAGUCUAGCAAAAGGAGGAGAAACACCUGGGUCUCCAUGAUGUCACUGAGCAAGUGAAUUGACCAGCUGUGAGAGAGACAUUCAGAAUUGGUCAUGGCUUUCCGGGAAGAUCAUCUGGAGACACCCCCUGGACCAAUGGCAUUUUCUCUCCCAAGUCUUAUGCCUCCCGAUGGCCUCAAGAGAUGAAGCUGAAUAGAGACAUUUCCCAAACCCAAGUCUGACCAGGAAGGCAAUGAGCCAGAACAGAAAAUAUCGAUGAGAACCUAGAUGUUCUAUCAAACCAAACCCUUGCCAGGAAGAGGAACACAUUAGCACUUGAGGUCAGUUGGCAUGUUUGGGCAACUGUGGAACAGGGAACACAAUUCAGAUUUAUCUUCACCAGCUCCAUGAGUGAAGCCCGGUCAUGGGACCUCUCUGAGCUUCAGUAUUCUCAUCUGUAAGAUGGGAAAUAAAUAAUAACUUAUUACAGGGCUGGCUGUUGGAUGGAUUAAAAUGGAAGUGAAGGUGUUUUGCUUGUAAUUGCAGAUGCUGGUGGGAUUUAGGAGAUUAUCUGGCAGUGGUGGUAUCAUUAUGCAGAGAAGCAGUGGAGGUGUGGAUCACCACCGGGUACCCAUCGGGGAAGGGCAUUCAUGAUCCCCAGAAAUGGCACCACUGAGGCAUGACAAGCUUUGAAAUUGUUUACUUGGGCAAGAGACACUCAACCUAUACAGGGACUACCUGCCAUCAGCACAGAAUGGUCUAAAACUGGCUUUGGGAAAAUGGCCUAGAAUCACAUUUUGAUUCUGGGUUUGUGAAUACAAACUCUAAAGUCAGAGUUAUACCAACAUUGAUGAAUUUUCACAAAGGAAGCAUUUUUCAAAGCAAACUCCCUUAAGCUAAUUUAAUUCCUCGAUCGAUGUCUUGCAUAGCGUAGUUAAAUUGUUUCCAACUUUUUUGGAAACAUUUUUACUGGGGUCAAUUCUUUUGUGUUUAAAUUUUAUAAAUAUUUGCUUCAUUGAUCAGGAUUUGGACCACAACAAAUUUUACUAAUUUAUAACUUCUGCCAUUUUGAGUUUUCUUUUGUGGUUAUUAUUUCCACCAAGUCAAGUCCAUUUCUCCUGGGUCAAAAUUGUACAGAGAUCCAAAAUUAGCUAAGAAGAUUUGAGUCAUCUAUGGAUUUUUAGUCAAUACCAAAUUUCACCCUGUGUGCUUUCAGCUCUUGUCAGUUUAUUUUGUGUGGCUUAUUUUUUUUACCAAUAAUAUUCACUGUGAAUUGGGCAAAAAAGAUGGAUGGUUAAUAUUUAUUUUUUUAGCUGAUAAUAAAUCCUGAGUGAUUUUGUAAGACAGAGGCAGAGAGAAGCAGAGAAGGGGAGAGGAUAGAAGAGAGGAAGAGAACUAGGGAGGAGGAAGAGAUCCAGAUGGAAGGAGGUACCAAGCAAAACAUGAAGACGGAGACAGAAAGAGAGAAAAACGAUGAGAAAGAGAAAGUGAGGAAGAGAAACAGAGAAGGAGAAAGAGAUGUUAGUAAGGUACAGAGAGGGAGAGAAUAAAAAGUGAGAUAUAUUGCAAGAAACUAAGAGAAAAAAGGGGGGAAAGAAAGAGAGAAAAAGAGGAUAGAAGAAGGUAACGGGGAAGGAGUGAGGACAGUGAUAUGGUUUGUCUGUGUGCCCACCCAAAUCUCAUCUUGAAUUGUAGCUCUCAUAAUUCCCACCUGUUGUGGGAGGGACCCAGUGGGGGAUAAAUGAAUCAUGGGGCCAGUUUCCCCCAUAAGGUUCUUGUGGUAGUGAAUAAGUCUCAUGAGAUAUGAUUGUUUUAGAAGAGUUUUCCUCUUUUACUUGGUUCUCAUUCUCUCUUGCCUGCCACCAUGUAAGACAUGCCUUUCACCUUCCACCAUGAUUGUGAGGCCUCCCCAGCCACAUGGAACUUUGAGUCCAUUAAACAUCUUUUUCCUUAUAAAUUAUCCAGUAUCGGGUAUGUCUUUAUCAGCAGUGUGAAAAUGAACUAACAGAGAG